GUGGGGAAUAUUGGACAAUGGGCGCAAGCCUGAUCCAGCAAUGCCGCGUGGGUGAAGAAGGUCUUCGGAUCGUAAAGCCCUUUCGACAGGGACGAUGAUGACGGUACCUGUAGAAGAAGCCCCGGCUAACUUCGUGCCAGCAGCCGCGGUAAUACGAAGGGGGCUAGCGUUACUCGGAAUUACUGGGCGUAAAGGGCGCGUAGGCGGCUCUGUUAGUCAGGCGUGAAAUUCCUGGGCUUAACCUGGGGACUGCGCUUGAUACUGCAGGGCUUGAGGCCGAGAGAGGGUGGUGGAAUUCCCAGUGUAGAGGUGAAAUUCGUAGAUAUUGGGAAGAACACCGGUGGCGAAGGCGACCACCUGGCUCGGUUCUGACGCUGAGGCGCGACAGCGUGGGGAGCAAACAGGAUUAGAAACCCGUUAGUCC
rnacentral:rRNA from 1 species